CUACCUUCGGAUUGGGAAUAACCACCGGAAACGGUGGCUAAUACCGAAUAAUGCAGCGGCACCUAAUGGUGACAGUUGUUAAAGCGGGGAUCGCAAGACCUCGCGUCUAAAGAGGAGCCUGCGGCGGAUUA
rnacentral:rRNA from 1 species